UAGGGAAUCUUCGGCAAUGGGGGCAACCCUGACCGAGCAACGCCGCGUGAGUGAAGAAGGUUUUCGGAUCGUAAAGCUCUGUUGUAAGUCAAGAACGAGUGUGAGAGUGGAAAGUUCACACUGUGACGGUAGCUUACCAGAAAGGGACGGCUAACUACGUGCCAGCAGCCGCGGUAAUACGUAGGUCCCGAGCGUUGUCCGGAUUUAUUGGGCGUAAAGCGAGCGCAGGCGGUUUGAUAAGUCUGAAGUUAAAGGCUGUGGCUCAACCAUAGUUCGCUUUGGAAACUGUCAAACUUGAGUGCAGAAGGGGAGAGUGGAAUUCCAUGUGUAGCGGUGAAAUGCGUAGAUAUAUGAAGGAACACCGGUGGCGAAAGCGGCUCUCUGGUCUGUAACUGACGCUGAGGCUCGAAAGCGUGGGGAGCGAACAGGAUUAGAUACCCUGGUAGUCCACGCCGUAAACGAUGAGUGCUAGGUGUUGGAUCCUUUCCGGGAUUCAGUGCCGCAGCUAACGCAUUAAGCACUCCGCCUGGGGAGUACGACCGCAAGGUUG
rnacentral:rRNA from 1 species